AGCAGACAAGACAAACGGUUAAGUCGCGGGUUUCAUGCACCUUGAGGACAGGGUUCGACUCCCUGGUCUGCUA
rnacentral:tRNA from 1 species